GCCCAGGUGGUGGAAUUGGUAGACACGCUAGACUUAGGAUCUAGUGCUUCGCGCGUGGAGGUUCAAGUCCUCUCCUGGGUACCA
rnacentral:tRNA from 1 species